UGCAACAUGUUGCGAAUUUGGUAAUUCAGUCUAAAAAAUCGCUGUCCCGUAUCCUUACUACUUGGUGGCGCCACCUAUCGGCGAUAAUGUGAACUAACUUCGAUCUCAAUCCUGUUUCUCAAUCAUGUAAAAUCCUCUCAAAUCGAUCCUUCGCUCAUUUAUAUUCUCUCUCCUCCCUCUUACUGUCAAUGAACCUGUUUUUACGAUUGGUCCCGUGUUGCGAUUCAAACAACCCUCAAACAGGUAGGUCAUCCCUUUGUAAUGAAUCUAAUGUGAUAGUUUAGAGGUAUUUUUUAAGUGUUUCCUGAAAACGGUUUCGAUGCCCUUGAACCUUUCUACUUUCUCUAUAAUUUAUAUUCCUCCUUUGUGUACCUAACACUGUCCCAUAGCAAAGUGCCUAUAUAAUAACUACUUUCCUAUAAAAAACCAAUCUACCAGUUUAACAUUUAGGAUGAGGAUAACCAGGAACACGGCGUUUGCUAUGCCUGCGAGAAACAAAUUUCUGAUGAUGAUCGAGAAAAAUUCUUUGAUCAGUUUACAGGUCAAUAUGUAGGUCCUAUUCAUAAGGUGUGUAAACAGACAGAUUAAAUGAAUUUGACUUCAAAAUGAAAUUCUUACCAGGAAAGGAGAACCAUGUAGCCGAUGCGCUAUCAAGAGUAAAGAUUAACGAAAACCUACUUGGGGAAACCAUUAAUAGUGAUUUUGCAAUGGUCCAUAGCGCGCAAGAAGAUAAUGCAAAUUACAUUCCACUUACAGAGCGACCAAUCAAUUACUAUAAUAGGCAAAUAGAACUGAUUAAAGGUAAUGAGGAUAAGGUAGAAACAUCCCACAAUUUCCACAAGAUACUGAUAAAAAUCACUUAUACUGAAAUGACAGAGUCAUUAGCAAAAGAUAUAAUAAAGGAAUAUGUGUAAACCAAAAAGAGUGCAUUAUAUUUCCAUAGUGAAAUAGACUUCCCACUGUUCCAAAGGGCAUUCCUAAAAAUAAUCAGUCCCAAUCACUUGAUGUGAAAAUGUGAAAAUCGAAAUCACUACCAGUAAAAACGGAGUUUCUGAUGAAGAACGGCUACAUAAAACGAUCAAUGACAAAUUAAGAAUUAUUUCAAGCGAGGAUAACAUAGAGAACAAGCUCACAAAAUUCGAGUUAAUUCUAUACACUUAUAAUCAUAAAUCGGUUCAUAAUACUACAAAAAGAUCCCCAGCUGAUAUCUUCCUGUACGCCGGACUACCAGAUUAUAACACCCAACUGAAUAAGGUUAGGAAGAUCAAUCAUUUAAAUAACGAUAGAAUCGACUUUGAAGUAGACACACGCUACAAGAAUGCACCCCUAGUUAAAACAAAAACAACCAAUCCGUUCAAAAUAACAGGGGAAAUUCGGCAGAGUACCCGAAGAGAGUACUGGGAAUCUGGAGCUACAACAUGAUUAAGAUUAUAAUCUUACUAAUGUUCACCGUAAUACAGUCUACCGGAUAGAAUAUAGAGAUAGAUCCCAUCAACUCAAGGAAUAAAUAUCUCAUUUUCAAAACAGAUACCAUUAACAUACCCAUUAAUUAUGAAUAUCAUUAUUUAACAAUUAAUAUAACAAGAACAGAUGAAACAUAUCAGAGUUUACUAGACCAGGCAACCCAAUUUAAUAACGUAAUCCAAGUUCAAUAUUUAGUCGAGACAUUGCAACGUAAAUUCAACGGCAUAAAAAUAGCCAAAAGAAACAAAAGAGGCCUUUAAAUGCAGUAGGCACAAUUUAUAAAUAUCUAUUUGGAAAGUUAGAUCAA